rnacentral:rRNA from 1 species
UACGGAGGGGGCUAGCGUUGUUCGGAAUUACUGGGCGUAAAGCGCACGUAGGCGGGUUGUUAAGUCAGGGGUGAAAUCCUGGAGCUCAACUCCAGAACUGCCUUUGAUACUGGCAACCUAGAGACUGGAAGAGGUUAGUGGAAUUCCCAGUGUAGAGGUGAAAUUCGUAGAUAUUCGCAAGAACACCGGUGGCGAAGGCGGGUCUCUGGGCAGUAACUGACGCUGAGGAGCGAAAGCGUGGGGAGCGAACAGG